GACGAACGCNGGCGGCGUGCCUAAUACAUGCAAGUAGAACGCUGAAGGAGGAGCUUGCUUCUCUGGAUGAGUUGCGAACGGGUGAGUAACGCGUAGGUAACCUGCCUGGUAGCGGGGGAUAACUAUUGGAAACGAUAGCUAAUACCGCAUAAGAGUAGAUGUUGCAUGACAUUUGCUUAAAAGGUGCAAUUGCAUCACUACCAGAUGGACCUGCGUUGUAUUAGCUAGUUGGUGAGGUAACGGCUCACCAAGGCGACGAUACAUAGCCGACCUGAGAGGGUGAUCGGCCACACUGGGACUGAGACACGGCCCAGACUCCUACGGGAGGCAGCAGUAGGGAAUCUUCGGCAAUGGACGGAAGUCUGACCGAGCAACGCCGCGUGAGUGAAGAAGGUUUUCGGAUCGUAAAGCUCUGUUGUAAGAGAAGAACGAGUGUGAGAG
rnacentral:rRNA from 1 species